AAAGAAGGAAAAAAUUAAAGAAGAUAGAAGUAAGGUAUGGCCCUCGCUAGAGAAGGACCAACGCAGGUUUUGCAGAGAGAAGGGCCGUUAUAGGAGGGAUUGUGAGAAGUUGAAAAGCAGAUGGAGUUCUCCUGAUGAGGAGGGCUGACGGGCCGAGGCCCAUGGCCGCUCAACCCGGGUGAGCCCAUGGUGACUUUGGGAAUAGGGGGAACAGAGGUCCAGUUCCUCGUGGACACUGGCACGGCCCAUUCCGUCCUCAAGGCCCCUCUCGGAACCCUUUCCUCCCUGAAGUCCUCCGUUACUGGAGCCACAGGAAAAUCGGCCUCUUCUCCUUGGAGCACCGAACAAACUGUAAAUCCGGGAACAGGCACCGUCACUCUCCUCCUUAGUUAUUCCUGAGUGGCCAUGUCCGCUGCUGGGAGGAGAUGUCCUACAAAAAUUGGGGGCUGUCAUUUCCUUUGAGCCUGAGGGGGAGGGGCUUUAGAACUCAAGCCACCCCCUAUUACGGUAAGGGUUCCCCUUGAAGAUGAAUUUAAGAUGUGAAGGGGGGCACUAAACCCCCAAACAGAAAUGGGACGAUCUCCAGAAAAAGUUUCCUCGGGUAUGGGCUGAAGCAAACCCAUCAGGGUUGGCAAACACCAUGCCCCGGUGGUGGUUCAGUUGCCGGCUUUGGCCACCCGGGCCCGUGUGGGGCAGUACCCGCUCCAGCGGGAGGCCAAGGUGGGGGUCUCUAGGCACAUUCAUGACUCCAGGAAGCCGGCAUCCUGAUCCUUAUCAGUUGGCCUGGAAUACACCCCUGCUGCCCUUGAGAAGGCCCGGCACCUCAGACUUCAGACUGGUACAGGAUUUGCGGGAGGUAAACAGCCAGGCAGAGACCAUCCACCCGAUGGUACCAAACCCCUAUACACUGCUGAGUCUCAUCCUCCUGCUCGUGGAUGGGACUCGGUUUUAGAUCUUGCAGAUGCAUUUUUCAGCCUGCCCCUCGCUCCAGUGAGCCAGCCCCUCUCACCUUCGAAUGGACUGACCCAGACACAGGGACUGCUGGACAGCUGCCACGGACCCGGCUGCCACAGAGAUGCAAGAACUCCCCAAGUCUGUUUGGGGAAGCUCUUGGGCAAAGAUCUAGGAGAGGUAAGGAGAGCCUUUCCCCAAGCAACUAUUCUUUAGUAUGUAGAUGACCUCUUGGUGGCAACUUCAAAGGAGGAAGAGUGUCUUUCAGCACCCCACCCCCAGGGCCCCCUGGAAGCCCUACAAAACUGGGAUAUCGGGUGUCCUGGAGGAAAGCUUGGCUCUGCCAGACCGAGGUAACUUACUUGGGCUAUAUUCUUGAGACGGGAAAAAGAAACAAGUGCAAGAAUUCCUAGGGACAAUUGAAUAUUGCAGAAUUUGGAUUCCUGGCUUUGCUGGAAUUGCUAAACCCCGGCUCGAAGCCACAGCAGGGGGAAAUGCGCCCCUCGGAUGGACUGAGGCUUGACAGCAGGCAUUCCCAUUCCUUCAAACCGCGCUUGCAUCGGCACCAGCCCUGGCCGAACCAGGCUUGAGUAAGCCCUUCGCCUUCUUUGUAGCAGAGAAGAACGGGGUAGCCGAGGGAGUGAUGACUCGGUUUUGGGGGCCAUGGAAGAGGACAGUAGCAGCAGCAGCUGUUUUAACCCGAGAGGCUGACAAAUUGAUCUUUGGCCAAGAUUUGACUCUGAUCCCUACCCAUGCCAUGAGCCCUUAUUAAACAGCUCACCUAGCAAGUGGCUGUCUGAUGCCAGGCUGUUAGAAUAUCAAGGGCUUUUCCUGGAGCAGCCACGCAUCGAGUUGGCCACCACCGCUAGCCUCGAUCCAGCCUCAAUCCGGCUGCGCUGUUCCCCAAGUUUGACGAUCAGCUGCCCAUCCACGAUUGUCUCGAGACUCUUGAAAAUUUGCGGGGAGGGCGCCCAGAUUUGACAGACCAGGCCCUCCCUCACGUAGAGGUGACGUUCUACACUGAUGUAUGCAGUUUCGUACGGAUGGCGUGUGGUAUGCUGGGGCAGCGGUGGUCAGCCAAGACCAACAGGUGGUGGGGUGGGAGCAGGGAUUACCCCAACGAACAUCAGCACAGGGCUGGACUGAUUGCUUUGACUAGAGCUUUAGAGUUGGGAAAAGGAGAAAGAAUAAACACAUUCACUGACAGCCAUUAAGCUUUUGCCAAUGCCCAUGUACAUGAGAUUUAUCAAAAUAAAGGGCUCUUGACAUCCGAAGGAAAGGAAAUGGAUGACAAAACUGAGAUAUUGGCAUUGCUGCAAGCCGUUUGCAUGCCUAGAAAGGUCGCCAUCAUCCAUUGCCGCAGGUAUCAAAAGGGGUCUAGCCCUGAGGUGACUGGAAAUAAUGCUGCUGGUCAGGCAGCAAAACAAGCUGCCCCCAAAUCAGUGGGGAAGCAAUUGGUUUUGCUGCUCAUGCCAGUACUUCCGGAAAAACCUGAAAACCCAGAUAAAGAGGUAGCAGAAAUGAACAAGCAGCACUGGACCCGAGCAAAGCGUGGAUGGUGGACAGCUGACGAUGGAGGGUGGUUCUCGCGCUGCUGUGGCUGACACGUUGCGUGAGCUCCAGGAAGCCCCCAUUUCGGUGGUGAGGAGAGUGAUGGCUGCCCUGCAGCCGCAUUUCGUCAGCAAAGGACUGGCCCCAAAAGCCCAGGUUACGGUGAGACGAUGCCCCGCCUGCCUCAAGGAAAAUGCAAAUCCGGUGAGGGCCCCCGGGGUCCGACACAGGACAAACUCCAGAACUUCGGGAACUGGACUUUCUGAAAUGAAGUCCGGCAUGUAUCAUGUAUAGGUCCAGAUAUUUAUUAGUUUUGUGGAUACCUUUUCAGGAUGGAUAGAAGCAAUAUCCUCCUAAAAACGAGACAGCUGAGGUGACAGACAGCUUAUGACAGAGCGGUUCCCCAUUUGGGCCUACCCUCAGCUCUGGGUCUGACGAUGGUCCAGCCUUUACGGCCAAGAUCCAAAUUAAUGUCAUGUCCUCGGGAUCAAAUGGAACUACACCGUGCCUGAGGGCCUUAAAGUUCAGGACAGGUAGAAGAGCAAAUUGAGCCUUAAAGGAGACUAAGCCUGGAGCCUGAACUAGGCUGGGUACAACUUCUCCCUGUUGCAGUCCUCCUUAAACCCCUAACAGCUGUCCAUCAGCUCCAAUCAGUUAUAUGAUAAGUUGAGAACUAUCCCUGUUCAAAUGAAAAUCCUUUGCAACCUUUAUCCUAUAAGCUGGGGGAUUUGGUUUAUAUCCACAGGUUCGACUCCAAGACCCUAGGACCAGUUCCAGUUGUCCUGUGUACCCCCUUGGCAGUGAAGGUAGCUGGACAUUCUGCCUGGAUACAUCACAAGCAUCUGAAACCAGGACCCCCACAGACGUCACAAAAGACAGAAGGAAGGUCAUCAGCCAACCAGGCGGCCAAAAGCUAAGACAAACAGCAGGAGCAGGUGUAGGGGGUUGAAUUCUCCCGUGGAAAGCUUCACUCCCUGUGUCAAUUGGAACGGCCAACCGAGGGCUGCUUUGAAUCGAGCCUCUGUCCGGCUGUAUGGGGAAGUCACCGGGCACCCCAGCCACCCCGACCACUUUCCUUAUAUAAAUAUUUGGGUCCAGCUUGUGAAGAGCCUCCGGCUGCAGUGGCCGGGAAGGAAAGGGGCUGAUACAGCCCGUAUUGGGCCUCGACCCGAGUCCCACUGGAGGAGGUGACUGUCGGCCUCCUCGGAAGGGAAGAGGCGCUCCCGGGAUUUCCUGGGUCCCGUUCCGGAACUCGGAGGCCAGCUCGCUGGUAGCAGAACAGAAGGCAGGCGAGUGAGUGAAAUCCUCUGUCUGAACGUUUGAGGGAGCCCGAAAAGGCUGGGAAGCUCGGACCUGGGCUGACGAGUGACAGAGGCCGUGUUCUGGGACGGCACCCGCGCUUUGUCUGAGUCACCGGACUAGGGAUAUCGAAUGGUCGUGGGAAAUGCUACUACUAAACCGACUGUCCUUAGAACCUUAAGCCCUGCUACUAUUUUGCCCUCGGAACCUGGCCCUCUGACCACGCCUGCCUGUGGGUCACUGACGAAUUGUUCUCCAGUCAUCCGAUCUGUAGCAAGACUUGCUGCCAGAGGCUGAUUUUAUCCUGUUCAAGGAUGGGAGCAACUUCAUGGAAAAUGGGGUACGCUAUGCUGGCUAUGCAGAGACGACU